GACAGAGGGGGCAAGCGUUGCUCGGAAUCACUGGGCGUAAAGGGCGCGUAGGCGGGAUGGCAAGUCGGUCGUGAAAUCCUUCGGCUCAACCGAAGAACGUCGGCCGAUACUGCCGUUCUUGAGGGAUGCAGAGGAGAUUGGAAUUCCCGGUGUAGCGGUGAAAUGUGUAGAGAUCGGGAGGAACACCGGUGGCGAAGGCGGGUCUCUGGGCCGAAAUUGACGCUGAGGAGCGAAAGCGUGGGGAGCAAACAGG
rnacentral:rRNA from 1 species